rnacentral:rRNA from 1 species
GGAUGAACGCUAGCUACAGGCUUAACACAUGCAAGUCGAGGGGCAUCAGGAAGAAAGCUUGCUUUCUUUGCUGGCGACCGGCGCACGGGUGAGUAACACGUAUCCAACCUGCCCUUUACUCGGGGAUAGCCUUUCGAAAGAAAGAUUAAUACCCGAUAGCAUAAUGAUUCCGCAUGGUUUCAUUAUUAAAGGAUUCCGGUAAAGGAUGGGGAUGCGUUCCAUUAGGUUGUUGGUGAGGUAACGGCCCACCAAGCCUUCGAUGGAUAGGGGUUCUGAGAGGAAGGUCCCCCACAUUGGAACUGAGACACGGUCCAAACUCCUACGGGAGGCAGCAGUGAGGAAUAUUGGUCAAUGGGCGCUAGCCUGAACCAGCCAAGUAGCGUGAAGGAUGAAGGCUCUAUGGGUCGUAAACUUCUUUUAUAUAAGAAUAAAGUGCAGUAUGUAUACUGUUUUGUAUGUAUUAUAUGAAUAAGGAUCGGCUAACUCCGUGCCAGCAGCCGCGGUAAUACGGAGGAUCCGAGCGUUAUCCGGAUUUAUUGGGUUUAAAGGGAGCGUAGGUGGACUGGUAAGUCAGUUGUGAAAGUUUGCGGCUCAACCGUAAAAUUGCAGUUGAUACUGUCAGUCUUGAGUACAGUAGAGGUGGGCGGAAUUCGUGGUGUAGCGGUGAAAUGCUUAGAUAUCACGAAGAACUCCGAUUGCGAAGGCAGCUCACUGGACUGCAACUGACACUGAUGCUCGAAAGUGUGGGUAUCAAACAGGAUUAGAUACCCUGGUAGUCCACACAGUAAACGAUGAAUACUCGCUGUUUGCGAUAUACAGUAAGCGGCCAAGCGAAAGCAUUAAGUAUUCCACCUGGGGAGUACGCCGGCAACGGUGAAACUCAAAGGAAUUGACGGGGGCCCGCACAAGCGGAGGAACAUGUGGUUUAAUUCGAUGAUACGCGAGGAACCUUACCCGGGCUUAAAUUGCAGUGGAAUGAUGUGGAAACAUGUCAGUGAGCAAUCACCGCUGUGAAGGUGCUGCAUGGUUGUCGUCAGCUCGUGCCGUGAGGUGUCGGCUUAAGUGCCAUAACGAGCGCAACCCUUAUCUUUAGUUACUAACAGGUUAUGCUGAGGACUCUAGAGAGACUGCCGUCGUAAGAUGUGAGGAAGGUGGGGAUGACGUCAAAUCAGCACGGCCCUUACGUCCGGGGCUACCCACGUGUUACAAUGGGGGGUACAGAAGGCAGCUAGCGGGUGACCGUAUGCUAAUCCCAAAAUCCUCUCUCAGUUCGGAUCGAAGUCUGCAACCCGACUUCGUGAAGCUGGAUUCGCUAGUAAUCGCGCAUCAGCCACGGCGCGGUGAAUACGUUCCCGGGCCUUGUACACACCGCCCGUCAAGCCAUGGGAGCCGGGGGUACCUGAAGUACGUAACCGCAAGGAUCGUCCUAGGGUAAAACUGGAGACU